rnacentral:rRNA from 1 species
GAUGAACGCUGGCGGCGUGCUUAACACAUGCAAGUCGAACGGAAAGGCCCAAGCUUGCUUGGGUACUCGAGUGGCGAACGGGUGAGUAACACGUGGGUGAUCUGCCCUGCACUUCGGGAUAAGCCUGGGAAACUGGGUCUAAUACCGGAUAGGACCACAUUUUGGAUGGUGUGGUGGAAAGUUUUUCGGGGUGGGAUGAGCUCGCGGCCCAUCAGCUUGUUGGUGGGGUAAUGGCCUACCAAGGCGUCGACGGGUAGCCGGCCUGAGAGGGUGUACGGCCACAUUGGGAAUGAGAUAAGGCCCAGACUCCUACGGGAGGCAGCAGUGGGGAAUAUUGCACAAUGGGCGCAAGCCUGAUGCAGCGACGCCGCGUGGGGGAUGACGGCCUUCGGGUUGUAAACUCCUUUCGCUAGGGACGAAGCGUUAUGUGACGGUACCUGGAGAAGAAGCACCGGCUAACUACGUG